ACACGUAGGGGGCGAGCGUUGUUCGGAAUCAUUGGGCGUAAAGGGCGUGCAGGCGGUCGUGCAAGUCCGGCGUGAAAGACCCCGGCCCAACCGGGGGGACGCGCUGGAAACUGCAGGGCUUGAGUACAGGAGGGGAUGCCGGAAUUCCAGGUGUAGGGGUGAAAUCUGUAGAUAUCUGGAAGAACACCAAUGGCGAAGGCAGGCAUCUGGCCAUGUACUGACGCUGAGACGCGAAGGUGCGGGGAGCAAACAGGAUUAGAUCCCCUGGUAGUCCGCACAGUAAACGAUGGACACCCGCGGUUUGGCCUGUAUGGCUGAGCCGCCAAGCGAAAGCGUUAAGUGUCCCACCUGGGGAGUACGCCGGCAACGGUGAAACUCAAAUGAAUUGACGGGG
rnacentral:rRNA from 1 species